rnacentral:ncRNA from 2 species
UAAAGAUGUCUGGGGUGCUUUUAUAGCUGAGAUGAUACCCAUUGAACCUGAUACAGUUUGAACUGUCGAAGGGAGACUAAGCCGGUUAUUC